GAUGAACGCUGGCGGCGUGCUUAACACAUGCAAGUCGAACGGGAAACCUUUUAUUGAAGCUUCGGCAGAUUUAGCUGGUUUCUAGUGGCGGACGGGUGAGUAACGCGUGGGUAACCUGCCUUAUACAGGGGGAUAACAGUCAGAAAUGACUGCUAAUACCGCAUAAGCGCACAGAGCUGCAUGGCUCGGUGUGAAAAACUCCGGUGGUAUAAGAUGGACCCGCGUUGGAUUAGCUAGUUGGUGAGGUAACGGCCCACCAAGGCGACGAUCCAUAGCCGGCCUGAGAGGGUGAACGGCCACAUUGGGACUGAGACACGGCCCAGACUCCUACGGGAGGCAGCAGUGGGGAAUAUUGCACAAUGGGGGAAACCCUGAUGCAGCGACGCCGCGUGAAGGAAGAAGUAUCUCGGUAUGUAAACUUCUAUCAGCAGGGAAGAAAAUGACGGUAC
rnacentral:rRNA from 1 species